rnacentral:lncRNA from 1 species
AAAAAAAAUCUAUAGACAUUAGUUUUGUGUCACAAAACUUUUUAUUGCUUGAGUCAGAAAUCUAAAAACAAUUGCAAAGAAAGAUACUGAUUUUUUUACCUGACAUUUGGGGGAAAUUGAGAAAUACUCAGUGUUCACAAAGUUGCUUAUAAAUUGUCUUGUACUUGCUCACAGGUCAGUGUGGGCCAUCUGACAGCGUCUUAAGCCAGUCUCAGAGCUGAACAGUCCUCAAAGUUGUCUUUGCCAAGAGGUCUGCCAGUCAUCUGGUGAGGUGGUGGAAUUUGCUGCAAGACCUUGAUGUCUGCUGGCUGGCAUGAGAAGGACCUACACAUCUGGGAUAAUGAGGUCCAGGUUCAAUUGCUCUCCACUUCUUUCAAGGUAUAGAGUUUGACAUCAAUUUGCUGAUUUCAAAAUGUGAAAUUUCCCUCAGGAAGGACUUUGAUUUGGUUUAAAUAUGUUUUGG